rnacentral:lncRNA from 1 species
UUUUGGUUUUUCUUUCUCUCUUGCGCAAGACAGCCUUGGGCUGACCCCACCUACUUGGUGCGCCACCCCAAGGUCCUUGGGCCCUCCCGGGUGGGUGGUCCCCCCUCCCGGUGAAGAUCCAGAACCCAUUCGUCAUUCCCGGUGCAUUACCGGUAAUGCCCGAAAAUUUUCCAGUAACCAAAUGAAGUCAUCCUAUAUAUAAAUCUUCAUUUUGGACCAUUCCGGAAACCCUCGUGACGUCCGUGAUCUCAUCCGGGACUCCGGACAACAUUCGGUAACCAACC